rnacentral:rRNA from 1 species
GACGUAGGUGGCGAACGUUAUCCGGAAUUAUUGGGCGUAAAGGGUGCGUAGGCGGUCGGGUAAGUCUGAUGUGAAAUCUCACAGCUCAACUGUGAAACUGCAUUGGAUACUAUUCGGCUUGAGGUCUGGAGGGGGGACUGGAAUUCUCGGUGUAGCAGUGAAAUGCGUAGAUAUCGAGAGGAACACCAGUGGCGAAGGCGAGUCCCUGGACAGGUCCUGACGCUGAGGCACGAAAGCUAGGGGAGCAAACAGG